CCAUCUCAGCCCUCCAGAUCCUUCUGUUCUCCCUAGAUUGUCUACAACCUAUUGUCUCUGCGCUUCAACUCACGGAUCCGUGUGAAGACCUACACAGAUGAGCUGACGCCCAUUGAGUCUGCUGUCUCUGUGUUCAAGGCAGCCAACUGGUAUGAAAGGGAGAUCUGGGACAUGUUUGGAGUCUUCUUUGCUAACCACCCUGACCUAAGAAGGAUCCUGACAGAUUAUGGCUUCGAGGGACAUCCUUUCCGGAAAGACUUUCCUCUAUCUGGCUAUGUUGAGUUACGUUAUGACGAUGAAGUGAAGCGGGUGGUGGCAGAGCCGGUGGAGUUGGCCCAAGAGUUCCGCAAAUUUGACCUGAACAGCCCCUGGGAGGCUUUCCCAGUCUAUCGCCAACCCCCAGAGAGUCUCAAGCUUGAAGCCGGAGACAAGAAGCCUGAAGCCAAGUAGCUCCAGGGAAGGCAUGUGGAUCCUAGACAGCGCCUUAUCUAUGAUUGAGUGUCCGUGUAAAUAAAUUCCUACUUAGACUU
rnacentral:sRNA from 1 species